AUGGCACCAGGACAAGGACACGUUCAAGGCAAUACGAGGUAAGAACAACCAAGCAACAAGAUAUUUUGUGUUUUGCUUAAUGCCAAGUUUUAUUGUCUACAAGUCAAGAGAGAAAAUACAGAAUGACUGCACUAAUAGCAAAUGUUUCCCAUGUCCCAUACACCAAGAAGAGAAUGAAUAUGUAAGAUCUCCAUGCCUCGUACAAUGGGUGACAUAUCCAAGUGCAUUGCAGAUCUUUGAUAAUUAAAAGACAGUGUGAAAGAAGGAAGAUGACAGCUUCAAUUUGGAAACCAGAAGAAAAUCAGUAGGCAUGCACUCCAUCAUCGUGUGAAACAGAAGGAAGGUCAGGUCUCCAUCCCCUUGUGCCUGUUUCUCCUAUGCAGGGCAGGUUCAGCAGCACUUCUUGACGGUGGUGCAGCACUGCCUGAUGGGUACGCAGCACUUCCUCAGCGGGGAGCAGUACUGCACGGGGCUGCAACACACCACAACGGGCUUCUUCUUCACCACGUAGGAGCAGCAGGACAGACGGCCAGAGCAGCAGCAGGGGCGGCAGCAGGUCUGCAGGCACUGCUGGCUACAGCAGCUGCAGCAGGGCUUCUGGCACGGGUCACAGCAAGUCUGGCACGGGUCACAGCAUGGCUUCUGGCAUGGGUCACAGCAAGUCUGGCAUGGAUCACAGCAAGGCUUCUGGCACGGGUCACAGCAGACGGUCUUCUGGCAUGGGUCACAGCAGACGGUCUUCUGGCACGGGUCACAGCAAACAGUCUUCUGGCACGGGUCACAGCAAGUCUGGCACGGGUCACAGCAAGGCUUCUGGCACGGGUCACAGCAGACAGUCUUCUGACACGGGUCACAGCAAGUCUGGCAUGGGUCACAGCACGGCUUUUGGCACGGGUCACAGCAAGUCUGGCAGGGGUCACAGCAUGGCUUCUGGCAUGGAUCACAGCAAGUCUGGCACGGGUCACAGCAAGGCUUCUGGCACGGGUCACAGCAAGUCUGGCAUGGGUCACAGCAAGGCUUCUGGCAUGGGUCACAGCAGACGGUCUUCUGGCACGGGUCACAGCAAGUCUGGCACGGGUCACAGCAGACGGUCUUCUGGCACGGGUCACAGCAAGUCUGGCACGGGUCACAGCAAGGCUUCUGGCAUGGGUCACAGCAAGUCUGGCAUGGGUCACAGCAAGGCUUCUGGCACGGGUCACAGCAGACAGACUGCUGGCAUGGAUCACAGCAGGGCUUCUGGCAUGGGUCACAGCAAGUCUGGCAUGGGUCACAGCAAGUCUGGCAUGGGUCACAGCAUGGCUUUUGGCACGGGUCACAGCAAGUCUGGCAUGGGUCACAGCAAGGCUUCUGGCACGGGUCACAGCAAGUCUGGCAUGGGUCACAGCAAGGCUUCUGGCACGGGUCACAGCAGACAGUCUUCUCACAGCAGACAGUCUUCUGACACGGGUCACAGCAGACUGUCUUCUGACAGGGGCUGCAGCACACUGUCUUGCUCUUCACAACAGAGCAGCAUCCACUGGAGCAACACACGUUGGGGCACAUGGUGUUUGUUGGUAAUGUAGUCCAAGCUGGAGGGAGCGAGGAUCUGAAAGGCAAUGCACAUUAAGAUACAAUCCAUCUUUUCAAGUUCAGAGAUGUGUUUUAUUUUGGCAUGCUGAUGCUGCUGUCUAGCCCCACGGGUGACAGCCAUAUCACACAUCACUUCCCAUUUAUUUGUACUGAGCUGCACAAAACUGAGACUAACAUUGAGCCACCCGGUGCUAUCCCACUGAUAUUUCUGCAUCUUUUGAGCUAUCCUGGGAGCUACCUUCCCUGUACUGACCGAUGAACAUCACUUGCUGAAUUCCCAUCCCAAAAAAGCUUCUUUUCCACUCCCAAGGCUUCAGCUCUGCACACCAACAGUCUUUUGCAGCAAGCAGUAUACCAACAGGAUGGGAAAGCCGCUACUCUAGAGUUGUAGAUCAAAGAGCAUUUCCAUUCAUUGCUUGACCAAAGCCAAAUGAGAACUGUUGUUAGCAGACAACACUAGGUAACACUUACCUUGCUAACUGAG
ensembl:lncRNA